CAUUUUUUUGGUGACAGUCAAUAUAUAUGCGACUGUGAAGACGGGUGGAGUAACGUUAAUUGUGACACUGAGAUUGACGAGUGUAACAGCGAUCCUUGCCAGAAUGGCGCCACCUGCGUCGACUCUCUGAACAGUUACAAUUGCUUAUGUGCAGAUGGCUUCACUGGUGAACCAGUGCGAACAACAAGUGACGACUACAGCGGGAUUAAAAACUUCCAGUUCUACGCCGUUGUCAACGACCGAAUUUCCACCGACAGUAGUAUUACAAACCACUAAAGAUAUUGUUACUACUGUCACUACCAAUACAAUGGUCGAUACAACGGUAGCAGCUGAGACUUCUUCAAUAGUGUCAUCAGAAAUCACGACACAGGGACACAGCAGUCAAUAAAAGAAACAACAAAUAU